UUUCACAAUCCCUAACCAGUGAGAGAGAGAGAGAGAGAGAGAGAGAGAGAGAAGCUAUUUCAAUGGCGACACAGAGCUCGAGUUCGAUCAAAAUUCAUGCUUUAGGCUAUGCAACUCAAACCCCUUCUCUGUUUGAAGGGAGCUUCUGUGGGGAACUAUUUCUGGGGCACUUGGGGAAGGAAUGACUCGUCCAGUUGUCUCUGUAAAUACAUGCAUUCAGAGCCAAGCUAAUCUUUGUGAAAGUCAGGGGUAUGAUCAUAGAGUAGAGAUGUUAAGGAUUAACAUUCAUGGCUAAUGGAUUUUAAGUUUUCUCUCAUUUGGCAUAUACUGGUCCACACUCGCAAGGGAUGCCAUUUCCUGGUCUAAUAGUAUGUUGAAUAGUGAUAGUUUGUUUGCCACUCCUUGAUGUGCACUCCCCCACGCUUGUUUAUUGCCUUGUUUCGUCCCAAGAAGAAAAAUUCAGACCUACCGUGUUUUGGUCAUUGGUGAAUCAUAGGCAGUUCGGCUUUUGGACUCUAAAUGAUCUUCUUGUCAUUAUCCUGUUGCUCUUUCCUGAACAAGCUCUCGUUCUUAUUUCUAGUAUAAUAGUUUUGUUUCAAAGUUAUGAUUUCAUCUUGCACU